rnacentral:rRNA from 1 species
GACGAACGCUGGCGGCGUGCUUAACACAUGCAAGUCGAACGGAAAGGCCCUGCUUUUGUGGGGUGCUCGAGUGGCGAACGGGUGAGUAACACGUGAGUAACCUGCCCUUGACUUUGGGAUAACUUCAGGAAACUGGGGCUAAUACCGGAUAGGAGCUCCUGCUGCAUGGUGGGGGUUGGAAAGUUUCGGCGGUUGGGGAUGGACUCGCGGCUUAUCAGCUUGUUGGUGGGGUAGUGGCUUACCAAGGCUUUGACGGGUAGCCGGCCUGAGAGGGUGGCCGGCCACAUUGGGACUGAGAUACGGCCCAGUCUCCUACGGGAGGCAGCAGUGGGGAAUAUUGCACAAUGGGCGGAAGCCUGAUGCAGCAACGCCGCGUGCGGGAUGACGGCCUUCGGGUUGUAAACCGCUUUCGCCUGUGACGAAGCGUGAGUGACGGUAAUGGGUAAAGAAGCACCGGCUAACUACGUG